CUGAAAUAUUUGGUGGUCAGCGUGUUCUAAUCCCCCUACGUGCUAUGUUUGCCAACUUAGUGGAUCACACUUCCUUAUGUAGCAAAAACGAAUUGUCUGAAUUAUUCGGCCCUGAAGCCCCUCUUCCUCUAGAUCUCUUUCAAAUGCCUCCUAUCAAAAGUGAAAAACAACUUAAGGAAGAAUGGAACAGAGCUGGACCUCGGCCACGACCUCUUCCACCACCUCCAGACAGACCCAUCUACCAACAUGAGAAAGAGGGCUGGUAUGGUUGGAUCACUGAGAAGGAUACAGAACCAGAUCCUUCACCUAUGGAUUUGCGAAUGCAA
rnacentral:lncRNA from 1 species